CUUAUACUCCCUCUGUUCCAAAAUACUUGACUCCCACUUGUCUAGAUAUGGAUGUAUCUAUAUUUGUUUAGUGUCUAGAUACAUCCAUAUCUAGACAAAUGGGGAUCAAGUAAUUUGGAACGGAGGGAGUAAUAC
rfam:Triticum aestivum genome assembly, contig: Triticum_aestivum_CS42_TGACv1_scaffold_132462_2BL